AUGAAAUGCUUGAAAACACAUCCAAGUUUUGUUUUUUGUUGGGAACGUCUUUGUUUUGAAUUCUGUACGGUGAUGGGAGGGGAUUAUAAUCUUUCCAGUUCUGAGAUCCUCAGCUUAAGGCAGGCCCAGGGGAGGGGUCCGCGGUGGGUGCCGGGGGCUGAUUUCCAACUCCCCGCAGCAGCAGCAGCCACAAUCCCAGCACCUGAGGAUGAAGGCCUGCGUGGGAGCUCCGGUCCCGCUGCCACGGCCGCCCAGGAUGAGAACUUGUGUAAGGGGAAGUGUGGGGCCACCCUGGGGAGGAGGCGGGCCCAGAGAAUGUGGGUGGGCAGUGGAGGCUGUGGAUUGGGAGAGGGUCCUGGGCUCCGGUGUGAGAGAGCAUCUGAUCACCUUGUGGCCUGGUAACAUCACUGAUCUUCUCUGGGCUCCUGCCAUACAAGAUCUCAAGGGAUCUUGGCAAGAGAUGGGACCGCCUUUUUCUGUCCCUACCAGAUGCUGUCAUGAAAGACACACAGGCUGAAGAGGACAGACAGCUGGACAGCCAGGUGGGCUCCCUGUGGUCCUGACCAGGGCACCCCUGCCUCUCUAUGUGAUAAAUCCAGCAGACACUCCACCCGGCAGCCCGCAGCCUCUCUC
rnacentral:lncRNA from 1 species